GAUGAACGCUGGCGGCGUGCUUAAUACAUGCAAGUCGAACGGAGGUUGUAGCAAUACGAUCUUAGUGGCGAACGGGUGAGUAACGCGUUGGUGACCUGCCCCGAAGAGGGGGAUAACAGUUCGAAAGGACUGCUAAUACCCCAUGUGGUCAUAUGGGUUAGAGACUGUAUGACUGAAAGGAGAAAUCCACUUUGGGAGGGGCCUGCGUCCCAUCAGCUAGUUGGUAGGGUAAAGGCCUACCAAGGCGACGACGGGUAGGGGGCCUGAGAGGGUGACCCCCCACAUUGGCACUGAAACACGGGCCAAACACCUACGGGUGGCAG
rnacentral:rRNA from 1 species